GAUGAACGCUAGCGGCAGGCCUAAUACAUGCAAGUCGAACGGUAGUGGUAGCAAUGUCAUGAGAGUGGCGCACGGGUGAGUAACGCGUAUGCAACCUGGCCUUCAGCGAGGGAUAGCCUGGAGAAAUCCAGAUUAAUACCUCAUAUUAUUUAGGAAUCACCUGUAUUUUUAAAUAGAAAGGAUUUAUUCACUGAAGGAUGGGCAUGCGUGACAUUAGCUAGUUGGUAAGGUAACGGCUUACCAAGGCGACGAUGUCUAACUGGUCUGAGAGGAUGAUCAGUCACACUGGCACUGAGACACGGGCCAGACUCCUACGGGAGGCAGCAGUAGGGAAUAUUGGUCAAUGGGCGCAAGCCUGAACCAGCCAUGCCGCGUGCAGGAAGAAGGUCCUCU
rnacentral:rRNA from 1 species